GAUGAACGCUGGCGGCGUGCCUAAUACAUGCAAGUCGAGCGAAUGGAUUAAGAGCUUGCUCUUAUGAAGUUAGCGGCGGACGGGUGAGUAACACGUGGGUAACCUGCCCAUAAGACUGGGAUAACUCCGGGAAACCGGGGCUAAUACCGGAUAACAUUUUGAACCGCAUGGUUCGAGAUUGAAAGGCGGCUUCGGCUGUCACUUAUGGAUGGACCCGCGUCGCAUUAGCUAGUUGGUGAGGUAACGGCUCACCAAGGCAACGAUGCGUAGCCGACCUGAGAGGGUGAUCGGCCACACUGGGACUGAGACACGGCCCAGACUCCUACGGGAGGCAGCAGUAGGGAAUCUUCCGCAAUGGACGAAAGUCUGACGGAGCAACGCCGCGUGAGUGAUGAAGGCUUUCGGGUCGUAAAACUCUGUUGUUAGGGAAGAACAAGUGCUAGUUGAAUAAGCUGACACCUUGACGGUACCUAACCAGAAAGCCACGGCUAACUACGUGCCAGCCGCCGCGGUAU
rnacentral:rRNA from 1 species